UUUCGCAAUGCCCGAAAGGGUGACGAAGCGACGCCGCGUGAGUGAGGAAGGCCUUCGGGUUGUAAAGCUCUGUCAGGAGUUAAGAAAUAUAAGUGUGUUAAUACCACAUUUAUUUGACGAAGGCUCCAAAGGAAGCCACGGCUAACUCUGUGCCAGCAGCCGCGGUAAUACAGAGGUGGCAAGCGUUGUUCGGAAUUAUUGGGCGUAAAGAGCACGUAGGUGGGUUUGUAAGUCAGAUGUGAAAGCCUUCUGUUCAACGGAGGAAUUGCAUCUGAAACUGCGAGUCUUGAGUGUAGGAGGGGAGAAUGGAACUUCUGGUGGAGCGGUGAAAUGCGUAGACAUCAGAAGGAACACCGGCGGCGAAAGCGAUUCUCUGGCCUAUUACUGACACUCGGUGUGCGAAAGCUAGGGGAGCAAACGGGAUUAGAUACCCCGGUAGUCCUAGCUGUAAACGAUGGGCACUAAGUAGAGGGGUUUUA
rnacentral:rRNA from 1 species